AGAGUUUGAUCCUGGCUCAGAGUGAACGCUGGCGGCAUGCCUAACACAUGCAAGUCGAACGGCAGCACAGCAGUAGCAAUACUGUGGGUGGCGAGUGGCGGACGGGUGAGGAAUACAUCGGAAUUUGCCCUGUCGUGGGGGAUAACGUAGGGAAACUUACGCUAAUACCGCAUACGCCUAACGGUGAAAGCGGGGGAUCG
rnacentral:rRNA from 1 species